GGCCAGUUAGCUCAGUUGUUUAGAGCGUUGUGCUGAUAACACCAAGGUCAGGGGUUCGAUCCUUGUUCGGUCC
rnacentral:tRNA from 1 species